AGUUACACAGAUUUCUAGCGGUGCUUAAGCCCCGCUUCGAAAUACAAGUACAAGUUGAAGGCAUGUGAGGUGCAAGGCCAUUUCCUGGAUUGCGUGCCUGUUUAUGCAACAUCCUGCGAUAAGCAUUAUCAGCAUGCUUACAAUUUUGACUCAUGCAGACACAAUAGACAGAAGCUUAUCUCUCUGGCUUAGCAUCCCUAAACGAGCGCUGACUGCAUCAUCGCAUCCACUACGGAUCUAAAAUGACGGGAGACUGAUCUUUAACAGCCGUCUUAAGAACACAUCGACACUGGCCACCUGCAAACAACUUGAUCAAGGGGGGAAAAAAAUCAUCUUAUUACAAAGAAUGCCGUCUAAUCCGUUGCAGUAAAGUUGCGCCAGAAAGGAUCUGGAAACAAAAUGAAGAGGAUUACAAAAGGAUUACCUGUGUUCCGACUCAUGGAUGGAGAAUAAGACACCCGAUGUUGAGGACUUCUGUUGGAUGGAGGCCAAAAAGGUGACAGAUUUGUUGCCGAGCAUGGGCCAGCAGACUCAAUUUUUUGCAGCUCACUCAACGCUCUGGCAUCUGUGCUGUGCCAGAGUUGAAACACCUUUGUGCCAAACUAUUUCCGCGACUCCUCGAAAUGUUUUGGUCUAUAUUCUCUUAUUUUGGCAACAUCGGCACAUAAAGCUCGCCAGCGCGUCGACCGUGCGUCAAGUCCACGGCAAACGGUCCCUGAGGAGCUAGCCUGUUUCCGCAUGCUCUUGGGGGGGCUUUGCGGGAUCCAGUUAAAAGUUUGGGCUGGAGCUAAAGAUACAAACGACUGACUGUGACUACAAAAACAAAGGAGGGUAGCCUAUGGCAGUAGUGCUGCUUUUAAAAUCCACCAAGGUACAAAGAAACAAAGACCAACUGCAGUUGGCAUGUCACGUUGACUACAGCAAUGAGGGGGGGAUGUUUGAUGCGGCCCAAAACAACAACUGAAUAAUGUAGUACUUCUGCGCAAUAUACAGCAGAAUGGCAAGAAAUGUACAACAAGGCUUUUAGAAUAGCAAAGAAAGUUAACAUUGUUCGUGCAAAACCAAAAGAGACAGAGAGCAGCACUCGUCCCAAACCACUGUCAAG